UACGGAGGGUGCAAGCGUUGUUCGGAAUUAUUGGGCGUAAAGCGCGUGUAGGCGGGAAGACAGGUCAGUUGUGAAAUCCCUUGGCCUAACCAAGGAACUGCAUCUGAAACCAUUUUUCUCGAGUACGAUAGGGGAUGGCGGAAUUCCCAGUGUAGAGGUGAAAUUCAUAGAUAUUGGGAGGAACACCAGUGGCGAAGGCGACCAUCUGGAUCGAUACUGACGCUGAGACGCGAAAGCGUGGGUAGCAAAC
rnacentral:rRNA from 1 species